rnacentral:lncRNA from 1 species
CAAAGAUAAUCUUUAAAAAGAAGAAUUAUUUACAUUUUAACUAAUGUAAAUGACAAACUUAAGCUACAUACCCUGGAUAAAUUAAUUGAAAAGUGACAUAAUGAGAACAAAUGCAUUUCAUAUAUCUGAAUCUUAAAAGUUAUCUAGCAAUUACUUAUAAUUCUCAAGAACAUAACAUGCUUGUUUCAAAUAAAAUGAAAAAUAGACAAAGAAAAGUUAAAAAGAAUAACUAGAGUAGAAUAAGAAGGGAACAAAUAAAACAUAAAAGAGGGUAAGGUGCAAGCUUUGGGUAGAGUAACCUGGGAAAUGAAAAGAAAAAUACUAGGUGAAGAAAAAAGUGGGUUUAAUUAUUAUUUUAAAGCACAGGUGGUGGAGGGGAAGGGGAUUGGGCUGAAAGUAAACAAAAACGAG